GUAUUUUCCAGGAGCAUGAAAUUUAUUUGUUAUCACAAAUCUAUAGGAUAGACAGAUAUUUUGUGGCCAUUUGACCACAAAAACUAUGCCUGAGAAAGGUUAAAUAAUUUUUCAGGAUUACCCAGUUAGUACUAGUGCUGGAACUUGACUCCUGUCUGCCUAGUUUCAGAAUUCCCCACAGCGCAUCUCCUAACAGGUUAAUGGGAAAAUAGGUGAAAAUCAAAAGACUGUUUUUUGGCUGGGCUUCACAACCAAGUGCAUAGACUUAGAAAAUUUUGUUCUUUCCAGCAUCUGUCCUCUUGCUUGCUCUCAUUUUAUCCCCCAGAUAAACUUGUGGUGCGGAUCCUAUUUACAGCCCUGGUGCCAAAGUUUCAACCACAGUGAGAGAUCUAAGGAUUUCAAGGAAAACUCAAAGCAGCAAUAUUCAGUCAUAGAAGACUCAGAGGUUUGAUGCAGAGUUCAAUCUCUGAAAGUGAGCGUUCAGGUGUAUCUCACAGGAGUACUCCCCUAGCAACCUACAUGCAACCCUCCAUCUCUGUCUUCAGAAAAUGAAUGCAAGCCAGUGGAAUAGGAUGGAUCCUGGAAAUCGUACUCUAAAAUGGAAUUUUGGAGAUGGACCACUCACUGGUCAUAAAUACCACGAGAACAGCUUUUCCUGCUCCAUUUAAGUUUGCCCAGUGCCAGUUUUGGUCUUGUCCCAAAGCCAAAAACAUUGGAGACAUUGACAGAAAAGAAAGUAAUGGACCAUAUUGGAAGGGCCCAGACAGUUCUGUGCAGAUUCUGCUCUAG
rnacentral:lncRNA from 1 species